rnacentral:rRNA from 1 species
UACGUAAGGGGCAAGCGUUGUCCGGAAUCACUGGGCGUAAAGCGCACGUAGGCGGUGCAGCAAGUCAGGGGUGCAAGCUCCAGGCCUAACCUGGAAAUUGCCUCUGAAACUACUGUGCUUGAGGAUCAGAGGGGAAACUGGAAUUCACGGUGUAGCGGUGAAAUGCGUAGAUAUCGUGGAGAACACCCGUGGCGAAGGCGGGUUUCUGGCUGAUUUCUGACGCUGAGGUGCGAAAGCUAGGGGAGCGAACGGG